rnacentral:rRNA from 1 species
CCUACGGGUGGCAGCAGUGGGGAAUAUUGCACAAUGGGGGAAACCCUGAUGCAGCGACACCGCGUGAGUGAAGAAGAAAUUCGGUAUGUAAAGCUCUAUCAGCAGGGAAGAAAAUGACGGUACCUGAGUAAGAAGCCCCGGCGAACUACGUGCCCGCAGCCGCGGUAAUACGGAGGGGGCAAGCGUUAUCCGGAUUUACUGGGUUUAAAGGGAGCGUAGACGGGUGUGCAAGUCUGGGGUGAAAGGCUGUGGCUCAACCCCCGGACUGCUCUUGAAACUGUACGGCUGGAGUGCAGGUGAGGUAAGUGGAAUUCCUGGUGUAGCGGUGAAAUGCGUAGAUAUUAGGAGGAACACCAGUGGCGAAGGCGGCUUACUGGACUGUAACUGACGUUGAGGCUCGAAAGCGUGGGGAGCAAACAGGAUUAGAUACCCGUGUAGUC